UACUUGUAAGCUAUCGCUGAGGGAUGGGCCUGCGGGCCAUUAGCUUGUUGGUGAGGUAACGGCUCACCAAGGCUGUGAUGGCUAGCUGGUCUGAGAGGAUGACCAGCCACACUGGGACUGAGACACGGCCCAGACUCCUACGGGAGGCAGCAGUGGGGAAUAUUGCGCAAUGGGCGAAAGCCUGACGCAGCGACGCCGCGUGGGUGAUGAAGGCCUUCGGGUCGUAAAGCCCUGUCGCAGGGGAAGAAUAAGCAUCGGUAUAAUACGCCGGUGCCCUGACGGUACCCUGCAAGAAAGCACCGGCUAACUCCGUG
rnacentral:rRNA from 1 species